rnacentral:rRNA from 1 species
CGUUGUUUGAACCGCAUGGUUCAGACAUAAAAGGUGGCUUCGGCUACCACUUACAGAUGGACCCGCGGCGCAUUAGCUAGUUGGUGAGGUAACGGCUCACCAAGGCGACGAUGCGUAGCCGACCUGAGAGGGUGAUCGGCCACACUGGGACUGAGACACGGCCCAGACUCCUACGGGAGGCAGCAGUAGGGAAUCUUCCGCAAUGGACGAAAGUCUGACGGAGCAACGCCGCGUGAGUGAUGAAGGUUUUCGGAUCGUAAAGCUCUGUUGUUAGGGAAGAACAAGUGCCGUUCAAAUAGGGCGGCACCUUGACGGUACCUAACCAGAAAGCCACGGCUAACUACGUGCCAGCAGCCGCGGUAAUACGUAGGUGGCAAGCGUUGUCCGGAAUUAUUGGGCGUAAAGGGCUCGCAGGCGGUUUCUUAAGUCUGAUGUGAAAGCCCCCGGCUCAACCGGGGAGGGUCAUUGGAAACUGGGGAACUUGAGUGCAGAAGAGGAGAGUGGAAUUCCACGUGUAGCGGUGAAAUGCGUAGAGAUGUGGAGGAACACCAGUGGCGAAGGCGACUCUCUGGUCUGUAACUGACGCUGAGG